rnacentral:rRNA from 1 species
CGGCGGACGGGUGAGUAACACGUGGAUAACCUACCUAUAAGACUGGGAUAACUUCGGUAAACCGGAGCUAAUACCGAAUAAUAUAUUGAACCGCAUGGUUCAAUAGUGAAAGACGGUUUUGCUGUCACUUAUAGAUGGAUCCGCGCCGCAUUAGCUAGUUGGUAGGGUAACGGCUUACCAAGGCGACGAUGCGUAGCCGACCUGAGAGGGUGAUCGGCCACACUGGAACUGAGACACGGUCCAG